CUCGUACCUUUUGCAUAAUGGUCUAGCCAGUUUAACCAAGCAAAAAGAAAUUUAAGUUUGACACCCCGAAACUAAGCGAGCUACUUCAAAACAGCCAUCAUGGGCAAACCCGUCUCUGUCGCAAAAGAGUGGGAAGACUUUUAAGUAGAGGUGAUAAGCCUAUCGAGCUUAGAGAUAGCUGGUUGUUCAGGAAAAGAGUCUUAGCUCUACCUUAAGUUUUUUUAUUUUACACAAAAAACUAACAAACUUAAGAGCUAUUCAACUAAGGUACAGCUUAUUUGAAACAGGAUACAACCUUCAAUAUUGGGUAAAACAAAGGUAUAAAAACAAAGUAGGCCUAAAAGCAGCCAUCUUAAUAAAAGCGUUACAGCUUCACUUUCUAACUUUAAAUACCUCUAACUUUCGCUAACCCCUCACCACUACUGAACUGUUUUAUAUCUUUAUAAAAGUAAUUAUGCUAGAACUAGUAACAAGAAUUUAUUUCUCCUAUAUGUUAGCAUAAACCAACAUGGACAAUCCAUUGGUAUUUAACGUAAAUGUCUCUAAUAUAACAACAUAUACUAGAAAACCCUAUAACCCAAAACGUUAACCUUACACCAGAACAUUACAGGGAAGAUUAAAAGAGAAAAAAGGAACUCGGCAAAUCCCAGCCCCGCCUGUUUAC
rnacentral:rRNA from 1 species